CUCAGGGGUCGAGGGCCCCUGGUACCCCGCAUCUCUGUCCCAACAGGAACAGCGGUGGUCACUAGUUGCUCAGGAAGGGGCAUUUGGACUUUGAGGGCUAAGUUCCCUUUGCUGAUUUACCCACCUCUGGCCCUUGUGGGGCCACAAGAGCCACUGACUUUUAUACAUAUGUGUGUAUUUUUUUUAAGUUGUUGAUGGAACUUUAUUUUAUUUUAUAAAAUAUAUUUUUAGUUGUUAAUGGACUUUUCUUUCUUUACAUGCGGUGUUGAGAAUCGAACCCGGGGCCUCCCACAUGCUACGCAAGUCCCAACCACUGAGCCUCAGCCACUGACGCUUGAGAAGGAACCGAUCUGUUGUCCUCCUGGGGUUCACUCAGACACUAGGCAAGGAAAUGUCACAGAGCAGACAGGCCUCUCUCUCCUCUUGCCCUGGAACCCGACGGUGGAGGCUCCAUCCAGCCCACAGCCCAGAGAUGGCGUCCAGAUGGCUCACGCCUGUCAUCCCAGCAGCUCCGGAGGCUGAGGCAGGAGGAUCGCAAGGUGGAGGCCAGCCCGGAAGACCCCGGAAGAUCUGAGAUCUCUCUGCACAAGACCAGCCCCAUCAAAGAGGAACCAGGACCCAGACCCGGUGGACAACCCUAACCACCAAGAGGAAGUGGACUGAGAGGGUUUGUCACUUCUUCAAAGAUAUCCUGGUUUUUUUUUCUUUUCUUUUUUUUUUUGAUACCAGGGUUUGAACACAGGGGCCCUGGACCCUGAGCCCCAUCCCCAACCCUUUUUAUGUUUUAUUUAGGGACAGGGUCUCGCUGAGUUGCUUAGGGCCUUGCUAAGUGGCUGAGGCUGGCCUCCAACUUGCGAUCCUCCUGCCUCAGCCUCCAGAGCCAUUGGAAUUACUGGGGUGCACCACCGUGCCUGGCUGUGUUAGGUAUCUGAAGUCAUGUAGAGGUGUUUUAAGGAACAUGAGGAGAAUGUGUGUAGGUUAGAGGCAAAUACUAUGCCUUUUUUAUUUUAAUAUUUUUUAUUUGUUCCUUAUAGCUCUCCAUGACAGCAGCGUGCAUUUUGACGUAUCCCACAUACACAGAGUGUAACUUCCCACUCCUGUGGCUGGACCUGCUGUGGGGUGUCCCUGGUCGUGGGUUCCUAUGUGAACAUGGGAAAGUGACGCCCAUUCAUUCCCCUGUCCCUCCCAGUUCCCUCCCCUCCCUUCCCUCCCCUCCCCUGCGUCUCAUUCAGUGAACUGCUGUCCCCCCCUUUAUUGUGGGUCAGCAUCCGUCUGUCAGAGAGAACAUUUGGUGUUUGGGGAUUGUAUGCCCUUUUUUUUAAGGGAAUUGAACAUCUGUAGAUUUGGGUAUCCUCAGGGGUCAGCCUGCACCAGAUACUUGGAGACAACUAAUUGCAUUGAGGAAGGCGGACAGGUUUCCAGAUGUGGAAACAAUCUGAGUUGCUUCUUUGCCAUUUUGGUUGAGUUAGAAUAAGCAUGUUGCUGUCUUUCGAAACAGGAAGUCCUAGGCUGUUCCGAUUUCAGCCCCUGAUCCCAUCCACCUUGGGAGCUCAAGAAAAGACUUCCUAGAGCCAGGCCCGGUGGUGCUUGCCUACCAUCCCAGCGGCUCGGGAGGCUGAGGCAGGAGGAUCACAAGGUGAAGGCCAGCCUCAGCCACUUAGCGAGGCCCUCAGCAACUCAGCGAGACCCUGUCUCUAAAUAAAACAGAAAAAGGGCUGGGGACGGGGCUCAGUGGGUAAGCGACCCUGGGUUCCAUCCCUGGUACUCCUGCAAAAAAUGUCCCCAGAACAAAAUAGAGUGGCCCACUGGGGGAGCUGCAGCGUCUCCCACAGUCAGGAACUUGGGAAGCCAGAGGCUAAAAGCGACAGACACCAAGAUACAGACUAUCACAAUUCUCUUGGCCUCUUUUUUUUUUUUUGGCAAGACUGGUACAGGAGAUUGAACCCAGGGUUCAAUAUAUAUAUGGAGCAUAUAUAUGUAUUCAAACAUAUAUAUUCUUUAUAUAGAGAUUCAUAUUUAUAUAUACAUGCAGUAGGAGCCAACUCAGUUAUCCUGCAAACCUGAACUAUUAAUAGAUUAAAAAAAACCUGAUGCACAAGUAUUUUGAACACCUUCAUGAAAUUACGAAAUGAUAUGGUCAGGACUAUUAUCUUACAAGUAUAAUCUUGUUUGAAAAGAGCAUGAAAAUCAUCCACACGGAGCCUCUUUUGUGAAUGUGAGUCAGAGGCCGGUGUUCUUUUAGGAUCCCUGUAAGAGGUGCUAACCUCAGCCCGACAGCAGGUACUUACUAAAUAAAGGGAUUAAUGAUCUAGGAAGUCAUGCAUAUUUUAUAUUCCGUCUCAACUGUCCUCUUGGCAUGUGGCCUGCUCCCAGCUCUAAAAGAGCCCCAGCAAGACCCAGAAAGUUCAUUAUCCAGCAGGGCACAGUGUGGAGGCUGAGGCAGGAGGAUCGCAAGGUGGAGGCCAGCCUCCACCAUUUAGCAAGUCUCUAAGCAACUCAGCGAGACCCUGUCUCUAAAUAAAAUACAAAAAGGGCUGGGGAUGGGGCUCAGGGGUGAAGCGCCCCUGGGUUCAAUUCCUGGUACCAAAAAGAAAGAAAGCUCAUUACACAUCUAGGUUCAUCCUUGUGAGACACUGGAAAUAAUUGAACAGUAAUUCCACAUGGUGAAGGUCAAAGUCAUGAUUCAUUCAUUCAAAGGAAAAGCGAAGUCAUUAAAAUAAUGAUAAUUACGUGUCCAUGUACAAUAAGCUUUGAAGUGAUACUGAAUUAGAAAAACUGUCAUGUGGCAUUCAUAUUAGGAAUGCAGCCAGGUCAAGAGACACGUACAUAAAAAGAAUGAAAAGUUCUGGUCACCUAUUAGGUGCCGGGCCUUCUGUUGAGUCAUAUGAAUACAUCAUUAAAUAAAAUAUCAUUUUAAAAUAUUUUUUUUUAAAUUUUAUUAUGGAGGAUCGAGCCCAGGGGCACAGAGCCACAUCCCCAGCCCUUUUAAUUUUUAUUUCUUUUGAGACAGGGUCUCCCUGAUUUGCUGAAGGCCUUGCUAAGUGGCUGAGGCUGGCCUCCAAUUUGUGAUCCUCCUGCCUCAGCCUCCCGAGCUGCUGGGAUGACCAGUGCGCCCCACCGUCCCUGGCUCUUAAUACGUAAUCUAGAUGUGUUCCCUGUCCCUCAGAUUUCUCCUGGAAGCACCCCCCCCCCAGUAGCUGUGGAAAUUGGGUCUGUUGGUAGCAGGUGGGAGGAAUAUUCCAGUAUCUAGGGUGUAAACAUGUCCACGAGGCUGAUUUCAAGCUGCUAAUUAAUUCUCACUGAACUCAGAGUUGGGAAGAGAUGGACAAGUAGCUCUCAGGAAUCAUGUGAGCUGGUCAGAACACAUUUCUAGAACCUUCCACCACCUACUGUCUGACAUUCCAGAGGCGCUUGUUAAAUAAACAAUGAUUGGUUCAUAGGACGGGAUGCUAAUCAGUCAUGGGAAGAUCAUACACUAACUUAAUUUUUUUUCUCCUCCUCCCCCCUUUAGGAUCUUCCUGAGUCGCCCAGGCUGGCCUGGGACUUGUGACCCUCCUGUGUCAGUCUCAGAGCUGAAAUUGCAGGCGUUCCCCCCCAGGCUUGGCUUAGGGUUCUACCUAAGAACAACUAGUCAGAUUUGAAAAGACUUCAGAGCUUGUUUUCAAGUUUAAAAAGUAAGGAAGGUCAUUGAAAAGGGCAGAACAAAAAUUCCAAAAAUCACCUUCUCUGUAACGUCAACCAGACACCUGGCAAAACCAUCAGCAUCCACAUUUGGAGAGCUGGGGAAAUCAGUCCAAGGCUUGGAACCUGGAAGACAUUAUUCAAGGAGAGUGGAUCUCCACGACAAGAACGAGAUUUGUGAUAUCUUAACAUACCUUACACCCCUGCCCCUGUUCUUGAGGUCUGUAACAGCAUUUAAAAAUGAUAGCUAGAGCUGGGCACAGUAGCACACACCUGUAAUCCUGCAGCAAUUUGGGAGGCUGAGGCAGGAGGAUUGAAAGUGGAGGCCAGCCUCAGCCACUUAGCCAGGCCCUAAGCAACUCAGUGAGACCCUGUCUAUAUGGAGCUGGAGAGAUUUCAGACCUGUUCCCAGGUCACAGAACAGUCAUUUUCUGACCUGUGUAGAGGCCCACAGGAAGACCUCGGUUGUGAGGCUGCCUGUCCUUGGCCCAUCCUGGCCCUCAUCCUAUGUGAACACGCCUCUGCAAAUUUGUUUUUGUUUGGGGAGUUUUUUUU
rnacentral:lncRNA from 1 species